CUUAGGACGCACAUUGGCUUGUGGACCUCUGACCACCGGCUGACCACCUGCUGACCUUGAUCACUCUCUGUGAUCCCGAGCUCUCCACACCAAGGAGGAUGUUUAAAGGAUGAACACCAGAGGAAUAUACUUUACCCAAGAAGCGUUUGCUGAAGAGAAAGUUUAAAAUAAAUUUAACUCAGCCUGUCCUUUAAGGCGGAGAGAAUCGUGCAACAACUUUGACCAUGAAUUAAUCAAUUUUAAGAAGAAAACAAAGAAAAAGUUAGCAUAUGCAAAAAUUUAUAUUUUGUAUUGGUCAAGGAUCUUUUAAUUGCAGUUCAGAUGAGAUUUUGGAACGCACUUUGAUUUACGAACACGGAACGACUACAUAGGUGUUCAUGUCUUCAGGAAGAUGGAAUACAGCUGAGAGAUAAAGGAAAGUGAGAAGUAAUUUGAACAUGUUAGCAGUUUGGGAUGUCUUAAAUUUAUUUGAUUUGACAUUUAACCACAACCAUGUACACACAUACACACAAUUCACACACACACACACACACACACACACACACACACACAUACACACACAUUUUUGUUGGAAGGAUCAGAAGUGGAUCUUUCUUUCUGUCAGUAUGUAGAUGAAUGACAUCUUCUGGAUGCUAUAUUCCUUUUCCUCCAGAAAAGCAUAUGUUUCCUUACUCCAGUGCCCAGGCUUUUUUCUUUAUGAGUCAAAAAUUACACGAAAAUUCACUUGAAAACAAUGAGAGGAUAAAAAGAAAAAAUGGAAUCAGACUAUACCAUUCAGCAUCAGAAAAAGUAGAAAUGGGCACCUUCCUCCAACAUCUGUGUUUUAUCACACUUAUCCGGCUUCUGUAGCAAAGGCCAACCUGUCAUUGUUAGGUAGUAAACUUUUUACAUGGCACAUACAUGACAAGAGCAAUCAUUUUUACUUUCACCACUAAGCAAUAUUUUAGAAUAAGAUUUAAAGAAUGGCCAUAAAGAAAAAUGUAAACCCUUCUCUCUCCAACAACAUAUUGCACUUAUUGGUGCAAUAUUAUAGAUUGAGGAUUUUUAUUUUAUGGAAAUAUUUUCAUAUGGUUUUUGAUAACUUUUUGGAAGAGCCCCCUUCUGAAUAUUUCAAAUAAGACAUAAUGGGAAAGACAAUGCCAAUGAAGAGAAAGGCUUAAAGCAGAGAGCUUUUUGUUAGAGUGUUUUGAAAAAUGUUUUAUUUCUCAGAAACUGAUCAUAUUUUUGAAUUGUACUGGUCUACUAUAUGUUUAGAAUCUGUGCUUUAAAAGGUGUUAUAUCAUCAGCAUAUUUUGUUUGGUGUAUUCUAAAUGAAGAGCCUAGCACUGCAGUUGUCCACUGUAACAAGGCUUUUCUGUAAUGUUAGUUAAAUUAGAUUGAACACAUUUUGAUCAAGUUCCUACUCCUUGUUAAGGAGAUUUUACCCCUUUUGGAGAGUCUCCCCCAUCAUUAUAAUGUUGCCGUUGUAAGAGAUGGAGUACUUCUUGAGACUAAGCUGAGUCUUCUAUAAACAAAAUAAAAUCCAAUUGAAGAAAUGUACAAGCAGUAGAUUUUUCUGUAUAUAUUUGUAUGUAAAUUUUAGACAUUUAUACAUUCUAGAUAUUUUUUUUUCAAAAGUGUACAAGUAGUAGAUAUUUUCAAGUUAAUGAA